ACGCAUGAACCACUCGGAAGGGAUUCUGAGUA
rnacentral:sRNA from 1 species